UGUAUAAUGGGUCAGCGACUUAUAUUCUGUAGCAAGGUUAACCGAAUAGGGGAGCCGAAGGGAAACCGAGUCUUAACUGGGCGUUAAGUUGCAGGGUAUAGACCCGAAACCCGGUGAUCUAGCCAUGGGCAGGUUGAAGGUUGGGUAACACUAACUGGAGGACCGAACCGACUAAUGUUGAAAAAUUAGCGGAUGACUUGUGGCUGGGGGUGAAAGGCCAAUCAAACCGGGAGAUAGCUGGUUCUCCCCGAAAGCUAUUUAGGUAGCGCCUCGUGAACUCAUCUCCGGGGGUAGAGCACUGUUUCGGCAAGGGGGUCAUCCCGACUUACCAACCCGAUGCAAACUGCGAAUACCGGAGAAUGUUAUCACGGGAGACACACGGCGGGUGCUAACGUCCGUCGUGAAGAGGGAAACAACCCAGACCGCCAGCUAAGGUCCCAAAGUCAUGGUUAAGUGGGAAACGAUGUGGGAAGGCCCAGACAGCCAGGAUGUUGGCUUAGAAGCAGCCAUCAUUUAAAGAAAGCGUAAUAGCUCACUGGUCGAGUCGGCCUGCGCGGAAGAUGUAACGGGGCUAAACCAUGCACCGAAGCUG
rnacentral:rRNA from 1 species